UUAUCCCAACCCAAACAAGUUUCUUUCUCUCUGUUUCUCUCUCUCUACCUUCAAAAGUUCCUUAGCUUCUCAUCAAGGGCUGCAUUAGGUGAUUUGAAAAGAGAGGGUCAAAUCAAUAGAACUUCCCCUGUUUUGAUCUGUUCGCAGCUGUGGUGGAAGUGCAGGUGAUCUGAGUCUGACACAGAGCUUUACCUCUUGCAAGUGAAGGGACUCAUAAAUCCCAAACAAACAUAGAUCGGACACACAUAUUGUGACAAGAUCUUAGAAGGCUAAAAAGUUAGCUUCCGUUACCAAGAAUUGUUUGAUGGGUUGAUCCAAAAUUCACACUCCAAACCAGAUUCGCAGCACUGAAAGGUACAGCUAACUCAAGUCUUAGAAUGUUAAUUUUCGUAUGUGGGGAAGAGUACUAUAAUACUAUUACGAGGUUUUAAAUUCUGGUCAUCGUUGUCAUGAUUUUUGAUGUUAUGAAAAAUUACAGAUAGAAAUUGUUGAUACGAUUACGCUUACGGUUGUGCCAUGAGUUAAAUACAGUCAAAAUCGCAAUCA